GAAGGCUUCAGUUAAAUCCUGGCUCCGCUAUUACAUAAUGCCGGGCAAUUUAUUUAGCCCUUCUGAACUCUGUUGUUUAAUCUGUUAGUUGGGACUAAUAGCAUUCUUGUCUUAUAGAAUUAACAGGAGUAUGGAACGAUUAAUACAUCUAAAGGCCUCGGAACAGGGUGGGAGCUACAUCAGUGUUCUCUGAUGCUGCACUUACGUGGGAGAUGACUACCAAAAGCUCAGUUCUAGGGGUUUUAUUCCAACUAAUCUUAGCCGGUUCAGCCAAUAAACACUUCUGGAAGAUUAGAAGAUGAGAAGAGAGAGAUGCCAGGGGAUUCCUUUUACUCCUUUUUUUCUAACCUUCAAAUGACAUUGCCAGCAUUGGUGAUCUUGACUACGUGUGUAUGCUUUCUCUGCCACCAACCACACCACAUUGGCGCUCAUACCUUCGAGGUAAGAGUAGUGUGGGAAUAAACCCAAGCAAUAGUCUAUCUUGCUCUGAUUCCCCAUGCAGAACACCAAGU
ensembl:lincRNA